GUGCGUACCGGCGGCCCGGAGCGCCGGUCAUGCUCUCCUCAUGAACAUCGGGGCGCUCAUCGGCGGGUCGUUCGGUCUGGUCUACGUGCU
rnacentral:tRNA from 1 species